rfam:Otolemur garnettii contig020271, whole genome shotgun sequence.
UAAAUAGUUCAUCAAGACCUGAACUUGCAGGCAUAUGAGUCUUGGAUGAUGAAUAAUAUGUGUCUGAAACUCUGAGGUUCAA